ensembl:lncRNA
GUGGUAAUGUUGCAACACUACAGUAUAGAAAUGAGGAAUUAUAUCGAACUGAACAUUUUUUCCCCCCAGAAUAUUUUUCCAGUCUAAAUCAACAUGAUCAGAGUUCUCCUUGUCUUGCUAUUUUUGCAUACAGGUUCUGUUGGCAGUGUUCAGCAAAGCCCCUCAAAUCUAAUAAAAUCAGAGAAAGACAAUGCAGAACUGGUAUGUGAACACAGCAUAGCAACCUACACUAUGAUUUUCUGGUACAAGCAAACACAAACAAACCAUGGAUUUACAUUACUGGGAUAUAUCUGGAAUAAAAACUACUUUCCAGAGGAUAAUUUUAGUAAAAAAAUCCAGCUGGAUGGAGAUGGAGCCAAGAAUGGUUCCUUAAAAAUCCUCCAACUUGAAGCCAGUGACAGUGCAAUGUACUACUGUGCAGCUAGUUUCCACAGUGUGAUGAGCAGUCAUGCCACAAUACAAAAAGCUCUGAAAGCAGCAGUGCUGCACAAUUAACCACAGCAGCUCUUUUGCACCUGCUGAAGCACUUGGUUGAAUUUCCUGCUAAUAUUUGCAUCCUUCUGAAUUGAAAACUUAAACAGGUGAUACUAAAUACAUGCAAGUAAUAACUGGCUAUCUAGUAUUGUUUUGUUAAAAGAUUGUAUAUUUGAAUUAGCAUUAAUUUCAUUUGAUUUUAUUCAUUAAUAUUUCUUUCUACAUUCAGUAUUCUUGGUAAAAGUGUUCUCCAGACUCCUUCUGAUAUCCUGAAGAAAGAAAAUGAGUUUGUUGAGAUCAAGUGUUCUCACAGUAUACAAAACUACUAUGUCAUAUAGUGGUAGAAACAAAGCCAGAGCAUCACAGACCUUCAACUCAUGAGUCACAUUAAUGUUAAACAAGAAACCAUAGAGCCUGAGUUUAAUGUUAAGAUCAAACUGGAUGGAGAUGGAAGAAAUAAUGGCACUCUGACUAUCAACUCCCUCAUGCUGACUGACUGAGUGCAGUGUAUUUCUGUGCAGCAUUUGACACAGUGCUCAGAAUCACACAAAAACCCUCUUGUGCUGUAUAAGUUUAUCAGUAACUGCAAAUUCAGUUUAACUUUACACCUGGGUCUGUGGUUCAAAUAAAUACAACACACAUCAGUAUCUUAGCAAUACAGAGGGAUUAAUCAUUCUGACAUACAGUAAUAAUAUUAAAUAUUAAAACUAAUAAGUAAUCAUUAUCAUUAUUAAAUGUAUAGUUUGCACAAAAAAAAGAUAAACGAAUUUAGCAAAUGUACAUACAUAUUGCAAAGAAUAUUGUGGGUAAUAUGGCUAGUGUGCAGUCAAGAUGUAGUAGUUAUUAUAAUCACUUGGAGGAGCUCUUGAUUAAUUUAUGUGCAAAUUAUGUUGCACGAACCACUUUGAAAUGUUAUUGCAUUGCUCAGUAACAAUUCAGAAUUAAAAUGCAAAACACAUAUCACUUUAUUUACUGCUCUGUGUUUACUUGCACGACAAUCAAAGCACCAUUACUUAGUAGUGCAUUUAUAAUAUUUGAGAUGUAAAUUUGGUCAAAUG